CUGCGGAAGGAUCAUUAAUGAACUUGUGGUUGUUGCUGGCUAGUGUCUCUAGCAUGUGCACACGCACCUUCAUCCCACUUACACCUGUGCACCUUUUGUAGUAGUGUUUUGAAAGGGGGAGUUAAUUCUCUCUUCUGGAUCUCCUACUAUGUUUUUUACACACACACACAAAUAGUCAUUGAAUGUCAUUUGAUUUUAUAUUGAAAAAACAACUUUCAACAACGGAUCUCUUGGCUCUCGCAUCGAUGAAGAACGUAGCGAAUUACGAUAUGUAAUGUGAAUUGCAGAAUUCAGUGAAUCAUCGAAUCUUUGAACGCAUCUUGCGCUCUCUGGUAUUCCGGAGAGCAUGCCUGUUUGAGUGUCAUGAAUCUCUCAAAUACAAAACUUUAUUGUUUUUGUGUUUGGACUUGGAAGCUUGUCGGCGCAAGUCGACUCUUCUUAAAUGCAUUAGCUGGGGUUUAUAUAGUGGAUCCUUGGUGUGAUAAUUAUCUACGCCUUGAAGUCCCUGUAGACCUUGCUUCAAAUCGUCUUGUUAUGAGACAAUAUUUGAAUCAUCUGGCCUCAAAUCAGGUAGGACUACCCGCUGAACUUAAGCAUAUCAUA
rnacentral:rRNA from 1 species